UCAAACCUUCACAGUAGAGAGAGAGAGAGAGAGAGAGAGGAGUAAGAGAAUAAGAAGGACAUCACAACCUCCUGGUUAGGGAGUAGCUCUUAACAUGAAUCAAUAAAUCUGGUUGGAGCAAGGUGUCUAGUUAGAUUGUCAGAUUUCCGGGAACCAGAGAUACCCGUUUUUUGGCAGAACCUAGACAGCCAGAAGAAGCCUCCUACCUUGUUCUUCAUGCUUAAUUUCUUUAGAAAGUCAAACUCAUGGAUGAGCAUUUGGCUCAAGUUCUUCAGCUCCAGGUCAGGGAAUCUGUGACGUUAGGGAAUAUCUACCACUCUGGUAGCUGCAGAGGAGAUGCAGAAACACUGGAGCUGGGGACAAGCAUGCCACCUCCAAAAAUUAAAAAGAAAAGAGUUUAUCAUAUAGGUGUGUGAAGAUUCAUUUUACUGAGAAAGGUCAAUUCAGCUGUGCCCCUUCUAUAUAGCUCCUUGGAGAGAAUUAGCAAAGGCAGUCCCUUUAGGUGGAAUUAUUAGAAUAAAGUAUCCAUCUCUGAAGGAAAUUUGUAAAAGCAUCCCUCCAAAAGUCUCCCCAUUUGACUGUCAAAUUAGAAAAGGAGCCCCAUCAGGCAGCCCUGGGUCAGGUUUCUUGGAUGGGUGGGCUGCACCACUGCUUAGUUUCCUGGUCCCUAAUACUUUAAGGAGCCGGAUGGGAGUGAGAUCUGAACAACUCACUCUCACUUUCUACAAUUCUGUAAGGGUAGGGAGUAGGAACUAGAAUGGGGUGCUUUUUUUCCCUGUGAGAAUUGCUAUCGAUCCUGUGGAGGGUUUCUCAGCCAGGAGACUCCAUCACUCUGGCCUCUCUGAACUCAGAGCUCACUCACCUCCCUUUCGAAGCUAACGUGGCAGAGCUGGCUGGGAGGUGGUUACUGGCUCAGGGCCCUGAAACACUGAGUAAUUCCUAUGAU
rnacentral:lncRNA from 10 species